UGACGUUGGGAAAUGAUUCCUUCAGCUUUAUUUACCACCUGACUCUUCCACAGAGAACACAAGCCCCUCUGCUGGACUCUGAUUCUCUUGGGGCACACCUUAACGAUACUACAACUCAAUACAAUAACGUUGCUUUCUCAAAGUAAAACCUGGUUUGAUGUUAUAGCGGAAACUCCAAGAUAUGAUAUUUGUGCAGAUUAACUGACUCAGUCUGACCCACCGGGCUCAAUGGUGCACUUCACUGUGAGCACCAGUCCGUGAAUGCAUCACCUAUUGUAAGUGUCACAAAAACCGCUACUUUGCAGAAAGUGGAGAAACACCUCAUGUUGUUUCACAUGAGUAAACACUGCAUGGCAUACUACCAGAAAAACCCAACAGCAGCAGUGUGUGAAAUUGUAGCUGUAGAUAAGACUGCUAGUAGUUUAUUCGGAUUGGUAGUGAGUUCAAACUCUCAUAUUCACAAAAAUUAAACUAGCUUUUACUUUAAAGUGUUGUUUAUGCAGCUAAUAUUCAAGCAGUGACUAAGAGUUAUCCCAUUAUAUGACCCCACUCUGUGGCCUUUGCUGCUUCUGGGAAAUGACUUACCUACUUUCAUGUAGCUCAAAAACAACCGAUCCAAUCCACUUUAUUUAUAUAGCAAUUUUUAAAAAACAUUUAACUUUGCCAAAGUGCUGCACAGUAAAAGAACAAACACUACAGAAAACAGCAUGAGGUAAAAAAUAAAAGCAGGUAAAAAAAAAAACAUUUAAAAUGAAGUAAAAACACAAAAGCAUAAAAGAAAUAAAAGUGAUAAAAGGACCAUAAAAAACAUAAAAGGAUGGAGACCACACAGCUCUCACGCUGAGCUAAAAGCCAAGGAAUAAAAAAUGAGUUUUAAGACGUGGUUUAAAAGUAGAAAGAGUUGGGGAUGCUGUUUGUCAUUUAUUACCAAGCGGAGGAAUGGAUGUUAAAGACGGAUUAAAGUUAAGUUUUUCUUAUAAAACUACAAGAACACAAACAUCUAGCCAGGGUUGCAUCACAACAGUCAUCAGGAGCAUGUUGUAGUCUAUGCACCUUGACCUUCACUUUUGCGGAGUUUGAAUGAUGCCCAUGAUUUUAUAGGGUUCAUGAUGGCUACGUAUAGUUAGGGGAUGUAGUAUAUCCUCAUAGUAUCCACGGGGAGGAGGUGGAGAUGGUGGACUCCUACAAGUCUUUGGGGGUCCAUAUUAACAACAGGCUGGACUGGAAGGUCAACACAGAUGUUGUGUACAAGAACGGGCAGAACUGUUGGCCACCUUCUACCCGUCUAUGGUGGCGAGCACUUUGUUUUUUGCUGUGGUGUGCUGGGGUGGAGGCAUCGGGGAGGGAGAGCGAAAUAAGAUCCACAGGCUGGUGAGGAAGUCCGGCAGGGUGGUGGGCCACAAACUGGACAGUUUGGAGGCAGUGACGGAGAGGAAGAUAAGGGACAAGCUUGACAACAUUUUUGAAAACUCCUCCCGCCUCCUCCAUGAGGAGCUGUGGCUGAGAGGGAGAACUUUCAGCCAAAGACUUACUCUCCUCAGGUGCAGAACGGAGAAGUUCAGGUGCUCCUUCCUUCCUUCCCACAGACUGUUCAAUAGGCCUGAAAUGAGACGUAGCACAAACACACAGGUCUUAGCAAGGUGGAGCACUUUAACUUUUAGGUUUUAUCUUAUUUACUGUCAGCUAUUUGUUUGUUGUCAUCGCUUUUUAUUUUGAUGAUACCUCAUGUGUGUCCUCAAGUUAAGUUCGAGUGUUUCUGUCUCAAGUUUGAUCAUUAGUCUGUUAAAUGAUUCACUUCCUCUUGUCAGGGGACUCUCAGGAUCUUCUUGCUUUGUCAUCUCAAAACUUGGCAUUAAACCUUUAACACUCAAGUGGAAAGUCCGGGGAUGACGUUUCUGCAGAUCACCCGCUUCAGUCCACUCUGCGUGAUACUGAAACCGCAUGAAUACCAAGUCGUGAAGAUAAGUCGUGGUUCAACAGGAGCUUCACCACGCUGCCUUUCAGUGGCGCUGUUCUGCGCUCCAGUAGACCGCAGCAGGCCCUGUCCUGUCUGCCUGUCUUUCUCUCUCGCCUGUCUGUCUCUAUAAUUCACUCACACACUUUCUCUGUGGAGAGUGAAUGUUGGGGAGGAAUAAGCUCUCCAAAAUCCUGCGUUGUUGAGUCAAAGAAAAAGGAAGUGCAGGGGGAGAAAGUGGAGGGCUGAUUUUCACCGGGAAGCCGCGAGUGUGUGGCACAAAAAACGUGAAAAAUAACCACAUGAGCAGUCGUCCUUUGUGGGGGCUGAACACUGACCCAUACGAGCUUUGAGCUGCUUUUGGUUUUUUUUGUGUGUGUGUUUUUCAGGAUUUCCCACAGGAGAGGAAGAGGAGGGAGUGUUUGCUGUUUGCCGAUCAGAAACGCCGAUUCCCUCCUCGGAGUGAGAAAGGGAGGAGGGAUUUUUUUUUUCUUUACACCUGAAGCAGCCCCUCAUCCUUACUGUCCUCUUUCACAUACACUCCUAAAAUCUGCAUAUUUACGUGUUUCUGUUCCACACCAGAGGAGAAAUCGAGUAGAGCCGAGUGGAGAGCUGCUGCAGUUGUUUCUCAGCUCCCUCUCUCUCUCUCUCCCUCUCUGUCUCUCUGUGUGUCUCACCCCUUCGUUUCUGUAAAUCAGGAAAGCUGACCGUGUCUUUACAACAUGUAUGCACAAACCCUGCUCGGUCAAAAAGCACCAAGUGUUAUUAAACGUUGUGGUUUGUGCUGACAGACGAGCGUUUGGCACACACAGACACACACAUACACAGGAGGAUAAGUGUGCCUCAGUUCCCCCUAUCGUGGCAGAAACGCUCAUAAGACAGUGACUUUGGGAGGCAUUACAUGUAAAGACAAUCUCCAUAUCGAGGCAGUUGGAGAUCCACGAAUGAGGCAGGCUCCACAAGC
rnacentral:lncRNA from 1 species